rnacentral:lncRNA from 10 species
GGUUCAAAGAGCUUCCAGAUUGCUGAACACGUGGAGGUGGUGGGAUGGUGGCAUCCCCAGAGAGGGCAUGGAGGGUCUGUGCUUCUUCCCAUAUUCAUCAAUCAUCAUUCAAUUCGUCUAUAUCAUUUGUCAUAUUUUUUUAAGAGACAGAACCUCACUCUGUCACGUAGGCUGGAAUUCAGUUGCACAAUCAUAGCUCACUGCCGCCUUGAACUCCUGGACUCAAGUGAUCUGCCUCAGCUCCCCGAAGCACUGGAUGUUAGGCAUAAUCCACCACACCCAUCCUAUGGUAUUCUUUAUAAUAAACCAGUAAAUAGCAGAAGACACAGCCUUCAUCUCGUCUUCCCCUUCCACCUUCUGCCGUGUGAGGACACAGCAAGAAGGCCAAUCCCAGAUGCUGAAACCUUGAUCUUGGACCUCCCAGUCUCCAGAGUGUUUGAUCCUUGGGAAGUAUAAAAGAAUAGAUUAUGAAAAUCUUGAUGCCCUGUUGGAUGUGUCCAAGGGUUAUUCAAUGUCAAAGACAUAACAACCUGGUAAAAAGGGAAGCCUGCACAGACAGGCCUCCUUAUCCGUGUAUUCAGCAAACCCCACCAGCUCUCCUCAUCCAGUGGCCGUAAGAGCAGUACCUCAACAUGAAUAACAGCAACGCCUUGCGCUCAUAUAAUGCUCUCUGGUUUACAAAGUGCUUUUCAUAUUGGGUUUGUUUCUUUUUAAUGAGAGGGAAAGUUAUAUGAAGGAUUUUAUUCCCUUAGAAGACAGGAGACUUUUGGCAAGAUUUUGAAUCUUUCCUCUGUGGCCAAUUAGUGACAAUUCCACUUUUGCAAGACAGCCGUCUCCCUGUCCAAUUUGACAAGGCAAAGCAAGAAGACUGGCACUAAAUUCGGUGCCAACAGUAGUUCAAAAUCUCACCACCAUCAAAAUAUGAAUUUGGAUGCAAAAUUCCAGAGCUUGCAUAGUCUGCUACGGCCUCCAAAGAGGCUGAAUUGUAAGCAGAGUCAGCUUCUAAAAGGAGGAGGUUGGUGGCAGUGUAAAUGGCAUACCCUUUCUGCAGAGGAAGUUCAGCAACAUAUUUACAAUGAAAGCAAAAUUGCAUAAUUGUGCAAAAACAUACAUACCAAUAUAUUUAUUUCAGCUUCAUGUAUAGUAGGAAAAAAUAGAAGGGAGGGUAUUUAUCAACCUAUAGGUAGUUAGUUAAACAAAAUAUGGCAAAAUGAUUAACUGGAAUACCAUGUACCCAAUAAUAAAAAUACAAUGUUAUACCACAUGGGGAUGGGUAGAUUAGGCUAGGUAUUAAAGAACCUAAUAGGCUGUGAUAACGCAAGAGUUGGACUUUUUCUCAGUGUGAAUUAGAAAGCCACUGGAAAUUUUUGAACAUAGAAGUGACAGGAUUUGACUUACAUCUUCAAAGGAUCCCUUUGGCACUAUGUCAAGAAGAAACUACGGCAGGACUGUGGGAGGAAGCAAUGGUGAUACACCAGGGGGGCUGGUGAUGGCUCAGAGCAGGUGCUGUCAGCAGCGGAGGUGGGGAAAGUGCUUAAAGUCUACAAACGGUGAAGGUCAAGAAAGCAUGAUUUUUUUAAUAUAUUGGGUAUAAGGUGUGAGAGAAAGUGAAGAGUCAAAAAGGACCCCCAGGUUUUGAUUAAAUAGGUGUGUGUGUGUGUAUGUGUGUGUGUGUGUGCAUGCAUGAGUAAAGCACAAAAGAACGCACCCCCAAAAUAACAGGGUGGUUGCUGAAUAAUUAGAUAACAGAAGAUCUUUAUUUUCAUCUUUCCACUUUUGUUUGGGAUUAUGCAAGGAGCAUGUGUUACUUCAAAAUUUAAAAGCUAUUUUUUUUAGAUAAACUGAUGACAUUAAGAAUAAGAAACAGUUUGCCUAGCAUAUAUUUUUUUGGUCAGCCACCUUUUGUUGCAUGACAACCAAGCCUCAUAGAAUAGCAAGCAACAACUCUGGAAUGUGAAGCAAUAUCUGACCCCCAACCUGCCCAGUUUUAGGAUUCAUAGCAGGUUGCAUAUCUCUAUCUGGGUCUUUUCUAACUGAAAGAAGAAAUUUGCUAAGGCCUCCCACACGAUGAACCUGAAGAUUAACACCACGGAGUCAGCACACCUGCCAACCAAACCACAUAAGUAAACCUCCAUCUGUGUAGUGAAAUGACUAAUUCUUAUUCUCAUUAACCCUCUUAGAUAGCAUAUUUGAGUCUUCCUCUUUUUUAAAAUUUUUAUUUUCUCUUUACAUUUUCAUAGGCCUAUAGCAUGCAUACAUUUUAUUUUGGUAAACCACCUCAAAUCCUUUUAUUAAAUAUAUGGAGUGAAAUAAAUACAUACAUAAAUAGCUGGUUGUUUUUUUUCUCCACAUCCCCCUCCUUUGAUUCCACAUUUACCUGCUUGAUUUAUGUCUUGCUCACCAUCAUGCUAUUCAUUCUCCUAACUUCUUUCCUCUACUGUGCAAUUAACAGAAGUCAUGAGGAGAACCAUGCAGCUGAGAAAAAUAUUCAGAUAAAGGUCUGCAUGCCACACCAUGCUAUUAGGAGAAACAGUCCAAACAAAUCUAAUACAUAAGUAAUACACUGGGUCCAGGGAGCUGUGUAUGAACUUGGGCAGAUAUGCCCUCAGCAGACACUCGUCACAGCAGGAAUGGGGUACCCCUGAAUGUGAAUCUCUUCAUUCUGCAGUAAAGAUUAAUAAAACCUGAUUGUGACCCAAAAAUUGUGACAUGAUACACUGCAGGAUAAACAAAAUUGUUCUCAGAGCAGAGGUAGAUUUUCCAGCAUUAUAUGGAAGAACUUCUGAUAAUUUGCAUAAAACCAGAUCUCUUCCAUUUCAGCAAACCUCCCUUCUCCAGUGCAGCUGCACCAUUCACUUUUUGUCCUUCAACAUGUGCACACCUUGAACCAAUGGAUCAGUGAUAAUUCCAAGCUGUGCUUCUCCCUGGGCUACUUAUGACGGGGACUUUUGCAUUUCUAGCUCAUCUCAUGGCAAAUAUUCCAACACUUGGAAGUUAGGCACACAGUCUGUGCAUGUACUAGGCAUGUGGCUUUCUGCAUAUGUCUGCACAUCAUUUUUCAGGAAACUCUAUUUCACACUACACCAGCUUGAUGAGUAGCUGUUGUUCACACCCACUGAGAAAUAACUUCAUGUGAGAAUAAUACCUUUACAACUUUGAAAUGUCCUCAGACAGACUUCUCAUCUCCAGGCCAUCAACCUGCUGUGAACUCUCAUCCUGACUUUUCACACUUACAGGCAACAGUCGUGCAACAUACUGUCAAACAAUAUGAAGGUCUGGGGAGAUGUGGAGGAGUGCAAAAUUAAAUUGGAGCCAGAACAUCUUUUUAGCUCAGUAGAAUUUUUAAUAAUUAAAAAAAUCCACCAUAUAUGCAAGUAUAUUCAUAUUUGGUGUCUAUUUAAAACUUCUUCUCCAUGUCUCUGAAGUGUGUCUAGAUUUCUUAUCCUUAUUGUCAUUCUUUUUGUUGAAGGAUAGUGUAUGAAUUCUGCAUCUGUGGUCUCUGUCCUCAAGAUACUUCCUAAUUCCAUCUUCUUCAAGUAUUUCUGAUCAAAAAUCUCAGUCUUUUCUUUAAGACGCAAUUAUUAUAACACUGAAGCAAUUAAGAGCUUGGUGGGGGGUCUGAAUUUUCUCUUUGAGAACUAUCCAGAAAUAAUUUUAGUCCUCUUUGUUGAAAAUCCAGCAAAAGUUAGGCAUUCAAUGAAUAGCUCUGUAGGAAGAAAUAGAAUAACCAACUCUUUCAUUCAACAAAUAAUUCAACCCCUGAAAUGUGCCAGACUGUGAGUCUGCUCAGCAAGGUGAGUCGGAUGUGGAUCUGGGCCUCAAGGAAACUCACUCGAGCUCAGCGGAAGAGCUGACAUGUCAAUUACAGUCUCCCCAAUUCAACAAGAACACUUCUCAGCAAGGACUGAAUUACACACAUCAAACUUCUCCUGUUAAUUUUUAGUUAAGUAGAAAGUUCAAUUAAGUGGAAAUCAACUCACUCUUAGUGUUUAAUUCUUUCAGUUAAUGUCCAACUAGCUCAACAUCUGGAACUCAGUUCAACUCAACAAAUGUUAUUGAGUUGAUUCCCAUAGAGUGCAGCAUGCAAGGUGCUUCGUACAAAGAAGACACUGGUAAGAGAGAGGAUGACUGGUUAAUGACAAUCUGCCAACCUGGACAGAAGAGUGGGCUAGUACACAGUACUUGUCAUUCAGAGCAAUAAGAGUAACAACAGCAGAAUACAAGAUAUGGGCACUGAUUAUAGAGGUUCAAGGAAAAAGCAGGGCAACAAAGAAUUAAUUGAGCAGCCUCCUUCCUGUCUGUAGAUGCACAAUCAGGAGGCCUGAAUGGGUCCUGACCCAAGACACCUUCUAGAAGUUAUUUCAAAAGUGACCAGCAUCAGUUAGUUCCCUUUCGAUUCACCCCUCUCCUAAAGAGUCAUUAGAGAGAAAAUCUGAUAAAUUAAAGCUCUGAGUAGUUUAAUUCUGUUUAAUAAGAGUUGUCCUGAAUACAUAAUUUUGGAUUUCUUCUUUAGACUUACAAGAUAUUUUUUAUGUAAAUUAUUGUUUGAAUGUGAAACUUAAAAAAGUGUGUACAUAUAAGCAUAAUAAUAUAUGCUUUAUAUUUAUAUAAUGUAUAAUAUAUAUCUUAUAUGUAUAUAAUGUAUAAUAUAUACAUUUGUAUGUACAUACAGAACACAAAUAAUAAGUAUAGACAGAAGGUUCUUGAAUACUAACAUUUUGUUCAAAAUCAUUCUGUUAUAACAUUGAUGAGAAAAAAAAUUGAUUCCCACCCAGGGCCACUGUCUGUAUGGAAUUUGCACGUUCUCCCGAAGUCUAUGUGGGUUUUCUCCCACAUUCAAAAGAUGUGCAUAUCAGGUUCACUGGCAUGUCUGAGUGGUCCCAGUCAGAGUGACUGCAGGUGUGUGUGAGUGCACCCAGUGAUGGGUAGGUGGCCUAUCCUGGCAUGUCUGAGUGGUCCCAGUCAGAGUGACUGCGGGUGUGCAUGAGUGCACCCAGUGAUGGGAAGGUGGCCUGUCCAGGGAGGGCAUCCUGUCCAUGGUAGGUUCCUGCCUUGGGCCCUGAGCUGGGAGAAUAGGCUCUAGCCACCCACAACCCUGAACGGGAAUAAUUUGGUAAGCAAUGAUCUUACUUGUUUUUAUUCGUCUUUCUUAAAUGUACAUAUAUCUCACAUUUAUUUCAAUGUUUAAUAUUAAAGUGUUC